rnacentral:rRNA from 1 species
UGGGGAAUAUUGCACAAUGGGGGAAACCCUGAUGCAGCGACGCCGCGUGAGCGAUGAAGUAUUCGGUAUGUAAAGCUCUAUCAGCAGGGAAGAAAAUGACGGUACCUGACUAAGAAGCACCGGCUAAAUACGUGCC